GAAGUGGACAUAUGUAUCUAGCUGGCAUAUAGGGGAGUGGUUUAGCACUACCGAUUUUCUGGGAUGUGGUAUAACUGUUCCAUUUUAAGUUAUAACCGCACAACCCAAGGCUACCAUAUAGAAGUAGAUAGAUAAAAGUGGCAGGUAUAUGGGUGUACUUUUUAACUUUACAGAUGUUCCGAGGAGUGGUAUAACUGUUCUAUUUUAAGCUAUAACAGCACAAGUAAAGGGUACCAUAUAGAAGUGGACAUAUAGAUGUGGGAGGUAUUUGAGUGUGCUCUUUCGCCCUACAGAUGUUUCGGGGUGUGGUAUAACUGUUCCAUUUUAAGCUGUAACCGCAAAACCCAAGGCUACCAUAUAGUAGAUAGAUAGAAGUGGCAGGUAUAUGGGUAUACUCUUUAACACUACAAAUGUUCCGAGGAGUGGUAUAACUGUUCUAUUUUAAGCUAUAACAGCACAAGAGUCGGGUACCAUAUAGAAGUGGACAUAUAGAUGUGGGAGGUAUUUGAGUGUGCUUUUUAGCCCUACAGAUGUUUCGGGGUGUGGUAUAACUGUUCCAUUUUAAGCUGUAACCGCACAACCCAAGGCUACCAUAUGGAAGUAGAUAGAUAGAAGUGGCAGGUAUAUGGGUAUACUCUUUAACACUACAGAUAUUCGGAGGAGUGGUAUAACUGUUCUAUUUUAAGCUAUAACAGCACAAGUAAAGGGUACCAUAUAGAAGUGGAUAUAUAAAAGUGGCAGGUAUAUGGGUGUACUCUUUAACACUACAGAUGUUCCGAGGAGUGAUAUAACUGUUCUAUUUUAAGCUAUAACAGCACAAGUAAAGGGCACCAUAUAGAAGUGGACAUAUAAAUAUGGCAGGUAUUUGGGUGUGCUCUUUAGCCCUACAGAUGUUCCGGGGUGUGGUAUAACUGUUCCAUUUUAAGUUAUAACCACACAACCCAAGACUACCAUAUAGAAGUAGAUAGAUAAAAGUGGCAGGUAUAUGGGUGUACUCUUUAACACUACAGAUGUUCCGAGGAGUGGUAUAACUGUUCUAUUUUAAGCUAUAACAGCACAAGUAAGGGUACCAUAUAGAAGUGGACAUAUAGAUGUGGGAGGUAUUUGAGUGUGCUUUUUAGCCCUACAGAUGUUUCGGGGUGUGGUAUAACUAUUCCAUUUUAAGCUGUAACCGCACAACCCAAGGCUACCAUAUAGAAGUAGAUAGAUAGAAGUGGCAGGUAUAUGGGUAUACUCUUUAACACUACAGAUGUUCGGAGGAGUGGUAUAACUGUUCUAUUUUAAGCUAUAACAGCACAAGUAAAGGAUACCAUAUAGAAGUGGACAUAUAGAUGUGGCAGGUAUUUAAGUGUGCUCUUUAGCCCUAUAGAUGUUUCGUGGGGUGGUAUAACUGUUCUAUUUUAAGCUACAACUGAAAAAAUAAAGCCUACCACAGAAAAUAUUAUAUAGAUGUGAAAGGUCUAUGGGACUGCUCUUUUUUUACAUAUAAAUGUACCGCAGAGUGGUAUAACAGUUCUAUUUGGAACUAUAACCGCACAUUACAUAUAGAAGUGGAUUAACAUUAGAACAAAAUUUUUCUUUACGCCAUAGGUUGUAAUACAAUAUUAAAAUAAAACGUAGAAUUUAAAACAACAAAACCAUAUGGCAUCAGGACCAUUGAUAUAAUAUAAAGUCUACCACAAAAUACUACAACAGGUUAUAUUUGUACAACACAACGACUAACAUAACAACACUAUAUAAAAAUUAUUACAGCUUGCAUGAUACAGGGUGGUCAUGUACCCUUGCCACACAAGUUAUAGCAGGAUGACCACAUUAUCCCACUGACUAUCCCAUACAUGACAAAAACAGCCCAUUUCCAUCUUUUUCUUUUUGCUGCAACUGCGGCUUCUUCCCGCAACUUAUUAUUGCUUUCUAGUAAACCAUUAACCACUGAGAUACUCCGGCUCGUAAAUUGUGGGUCGUACCACCCAAAAUAAUUACAUGCGUUACUUCCCUGCAUCUGAAAGAUAAUAUAAAUUACACAUCAAAUAAUGUCAAUAUAUGAAUCAACAAGUUUAUAGUAGCCAGCUUUACCCUAUAUCUUGAACAGCCAUAAAAUCUCCGACCCG
rnacentral:lncRNA from 1 species